rnacentral:lncRNA from 1 species
AUGGCUCUAUUUCCAGCUUUUGCAGGAUUAUCAAAUACAAAAACUGAGAAUGCACCUAAAGUGAGGAGGUGCAGUGUCAGCUGGAGGGGUCUUUUGUGUGGCUGGACGACCUCUAGACCCUCACCGAUUGGCCCUUCUGCGUGGACAGAAGAGCAGACCUCUCCAACUGGGAGUAUAAAUUGCUCUACAGAGAAGACAUCGCUAGGCAGCCAUCUUCCUCCAGCAUUGUCAUUUCCUCAGGCAUGCAGGCCACUCAGAAAAGGCUGUGCCAAUGUUCCAGUGCCUGCUGGACUUCAUCUUCUUCAAGCCAGACACUGUCAAGGACCUAUCCACCAGACAACAGGCCUUCCCCGUCAACACCACCUCAUAAGAUUGCCUGCUGCAGUUGUUCGAGAGAUGUCCAGUUUGCAGCCGAACAUGCAGCAUAGAGAAGUCCAGAAAGGAGGCCUUCAUCAGCCACAUGUUGGCAAGUAUCUGGCCAGCAACCUUCACCUGUCAGCAGCAAAAGCUUUCACAGGCUCAUCAUUUGUACAAAUAUAGAAGGUAACUCACUUUAUUACUUUGAUACAUUUGAAAACCCAAUUGUGAAACAUAAUUUAUGUAAACUGACAUUAUUUGUUGACACAUACAGUUGAAGUCGGAAGUUUACAUACACCUCAGCCAAAUACAUUUAAACUCAGUUUUUCAUAAUUCCUGACAUUUAAUCCUAGUAAAAAUUCCCUGUUUUAGGUCAGUU